rnacentral:rRNA from 1 species
GACGAACCGUGCGAACGUUAUUCGGAAUAACUGGGCUUAAAGGGAGCGUAGGCGGGCUAUCAAGUCUGGGGUGAAAUCCCGCGGCUCAACCGUGGAACUGCCUCAGAUACUGACGGCCUCGAGGGAGAUAGGGGCAUGCGGAACUGUAGGUGGAGCGGUGAAAUGCGUUGAUAUCUACAGGAACUCCGGUGGCGAAAGCGGCGUGCUGGAUCUCUUCUGACGCUGAGGCUCGAAAGCUAGGGGAGCAAACGGG